GUCUCCCAGAUGCCAAAGGUCGCCGACUCACUUCCUACCUAUCAGUUUUCAACUUCUUACGCCCGUUGUUUCUCAUUCGAGUGGUUAGACUUCUGAUUUUGGGUUAAAUUGCUUCUUUGAUAUUAGUUAGGAGUGGGUUUAAGGAUAUCAUAACGUACUCUCAAUUGUUUGAAGAAGACCCAGUGCUGCUAACUUCCUUAGGUCUCCUUAAAGUACUAGUUUUUGUUCGGAAAACACCAUUGUUUUAGCAGAAGGCAAGAUGCUCAUUGAGGGAACUUUUCAGUGGAUUUCCUCCGUUGGAGGACAGAGAUAAGUCAAAUGCAGUAGACAUUCUAAUAGUGAUUUUGUGAUAAAGGUAAUUAGUAAUUACAUGUGGAUUUCCUCCGUUGGAGGAUAGAGAUAAGUCACUCAAGCUACCUGUAGGGCAUGACUUCUUUGGUGGUGAUACACUAACUAAAGAUGGGAGUAGACGAUGGGAAGAGAAGUUUAUGAUGAUGCUUACAACUCAAGGUUAACAAUCUUCAACAAAUAAUCAAAUCCCUUUAGAUGAAAUUGUAAGUUAUUUUGAGAACUGCAUAUAUACUAU